UUUUCAACUGAGGUUGAAGUGUUACAUGUUCAUAUGGAAGUGCUUUAAUACGUCUCCCCACCACAUUUCAUAGGUGUUCUUAAUGUGGGGGAACGCCAGUCCUUUCGCAAUAUAU